AUGCCCGUUUUCACCAACAACCUCCUACCGUUUCCCUAUCUAAAAGCUACUUUUAAUAAGGACCCCUCCCAAUUUGACACCUACCUAAAUUCAUUUUCACCACACUUGUACAUGGAUCCCUUAAGUAAGUGACAGAUUACUAGUUCUACAAACGAUAAUGCAAAGUCGAUAUUUUAUCGAUAAAAUGAUUUUUCUCUACUUCUUAAGAAAUAAACGUCUAUCGAGUAUAUAUUACUAAAGCCUGUGAGUUUUUUUUCUUGUGAUGUUAUUUUAAUUUAACUUAAACUACAUUACGCUAUGUUUUAUGCAAUAAAACAGUAAAGAGGUUUUCUAUAGGUGAAUUUUUACCUAUGUCAUUCGCGCGUUUGUCAAAUUGACUGAUGUGUAUGUUAAGGCGGCCAACCGUCCCGCAUUCUGCGGGACCGUCCCGCAAUGCUUGACGAAAUCCCGUUUUGAAAUUAUUAGUAAAAUAGUCCCGCAAAACGUUGUAUGCGUCCCACAUGUCCCGCAUCCCUAUUUUUCUACCACGCUUCUUCAUAACACCCACCUGCGCACACGCUCAACAGUGCAGGAACACAGAUUACCUAUACCUCUAAUAUAAUCUCGUUCUCUUUAUUUCUACUGAACUCGUGAGGCCUAAUGAUUUUGAAAUUAAGACAUUAGUGCACGCUGUGACACGAUACGACGCCUCCGGUUUUUAUUUUAUCAGUUCCGUCCGAUUAUUUUUCAAUGCCCCUCCCCCCCCCCCCUUCACAAAAGGUUAAGUCCCGCAUUCAGUUUUCGGAAAGUUGGCCGCCUUAGUGUAUGUGUACAUAGAGUGAGGUUAAUUUUGGGUUUAUUAUUGUUGAAUAGAUAAGUUUAUUUUGGCAGAGAAGAGAAAACGAGGAUAAACCUUUCUUGCAGAAGAAAAAGACAAGCUAGUGAAAUUGCUGACGUCUCAUAGAGACACAAUAUUAAACAAAAAACGGAUGGGACCACGAACGAAGCCAAAAACAAAGCUUGGAUCCAGUUACAAAUAGUUUUAAUGCGAUAGGAACCGUUUACAGUUUCAGGUGGUGCGAGAAAUUGGAAAGACGUGUAAAAACAUGCUGCGCCCAGCCCACCUCAAAUUGAAUUGGUGCAGGAGGAUGAUGAUAACACAAGGGAACAAGAUUUUUGUUGCAUGAAAUAUUACGACCAAUAUUGUAUAUUUUUGGGCUGCUAAUUGAAGAUCUGAAGUCAGAAUUUAUGUAUCAGCUUUAGUUUUUGAGAUAUCAACAAAACGUGAUUUUCAAGAAAAACACAAUUUUAUUAACAAAAAACAGCAGAAGAACAACAAUUAAGCAUCAAAAAACUUUCUUUUAUAAGAUUUUCUAGCUUGAUUCGGUUCACUAGGGCUGUCUUUAAUGCUGCAACAGUAGUUCGCCAUCAUGUUGGCAUUCCAAUGACCCUGGGACCGCUUUUCCAUAGUCCGAAUAUCUUGAUGGAACCGUUCGCGUUGUUCUUCUCUGAGAUCACAUAGAUUUUCAGGGAAAUGGUCGAAAUGGCUAAGGAGGAAGUAUACCUUGAUGCUCAUAUUACAACCAAGCCGAAAACAUCUGUUCAAAGUGAUUUGAAUAAGUUUUCAUCCAUUUUGUUUGAUAGAAAAUUUUGUGCAAUCCAAACGAAUUCGUUUCAGGCAUUUUUUUCGAUAUCGGUCAUGUAAUUAUGAAACUUACACUUACAUCAACCACCUUAUUUGUGGACCAUCAGAAAUUCCAGCUUUUAGUUUCUCUAUACUCAAAUUAUGGGACUUUUUAGAUAUGUAUUGAGCAUUUUUGUUCAGAGCUUUUACAAAUUGUUUCAUGAGCCCUAGUUUGAUGUGCAAAGGUGGUAGCACCUUUAUUAAGAUGAAGUAGUAGAUAACAAGUUAGGGUAAAUCCAUUUGGACCGUUUUUUUUUGUUAUUGCCGUUCAUAUCAUCCACGCAGAAAAACUACCUAAUGAUUCGAGGGUUCUCGCCAGAUCAUAUGUGUUUGUUACUUGAAAUGGGGUCUUUUCUUAUUUUUUCAUAACCUUGAAGAUUCGACGCAUGUUUUACAUACCAUUUUGAGACACCCAGUAGGUACCUGUCGCAGGUGUCCAAAGAAAAUCCAAAGAACUCAAAGUAGACCCGUUUCAAGAACUUCGACACGCUUAGUCUACAAUCUUUAAAUGUAUAUUCACCACAAAUAUUACAGAAUUAGUUAGUAUCAUUUUCACAAUUAUUUUGCAACAUAGAAAUAGUAAAAAUAAUAUACUUUUUAAAUAAAAUGCUCUGUUUUAUGUAAUAUAAGUGUAACUUGUUCGAACAUACGGUCAAUAGCUGUAUCUCAAAAACUAAAUCUGUUAGAAAAAAAAUGUGGGUAGAUUUGAAAUCAGCGACCUCGAAUUAGUAAACAAAAGUCGUAAAAUUUCAUGCAACACAAAAAAAGUCUAAUUUUGUUCCCUUGUGUAAUGUUUGGUACAUCAUAUGAGGACUAAUAUUAAAAUAUUUGUUUACUA
rnacentral:lncRNA from 1 species